UACGAAGGGGGCUAGCGUUGUUCGGAAUUACUGGGCGUAAAGGGCGCGUAGGCGGCCCUCCAAGUCAGAUGUGAAAGCCCCGGGCUUAACCUGGGAAUUGCAUUUGAGACUGAAGGGCUUGAGUUUCGGAGAGGUGGGUGGAAUUCCCAGUGUAGAGGUGAAAUUCGUAGAUAUUGGGAAGAACACCGGUGGCGAAGGCGGCCCACUGGACGAACACUGACGCUGAGGCGCGAAAGCGUGGGGAGCAAACAGG
rnacentral:rRNA from 1 species